UGACCAUCAGUGACCAGAGUGACCAUCAGUGACCAUCAGUGACCAUCACUGACCAUCACUGACCACCACUGACCAUCACUGACCAUCACUGACCAGAGUGACCAUCACUGACCAUCACUGACCAUCACUGACCAUCACUGACCAUCAGUGACCAUCACUGACCAUCACUGACCAUCACUGACCAUCAGUGACCAUCACUGACCAUCACUGACCAUCACUGACCAUCAGUGACCAUCAGUGACCAGAGUGACCAUUACUGACCAUCAGUGACCAUCAGUGACCAUCACUGACCAUCACUGACCAUCACUGACCACCACUGACCAUCACUGACCAUCACUGACCAUCAGUGACCAUCAGUGACCAGAGUGACCACUGACCAUCACUGGCCAUUACUCUGGGCUGUACUGGGAGCACUGGGAUCCCUCAGAUCCCAGACUGGAGCGUCCCAGGUGUGUCCAGGUGUGUCCCCAGGUGUGUCCAGGUGUGUCCAGGUGUAUCUCAGGUGUAUCUCAGGUGUCCCCAGGUGUCCCCAGGUGUGUCCCAGGUGUCCCCAGGUGUGUCCCAAUGUCCCCCCAGGUGUCCCCAGGUGUAUCUCAGGUGUCCCCAGGUGUGUCACAGACCUGCAGCAGCAGGUGACAGAUCUCCAGGUGUCCUUUCUGCGCGGCCGCGUGCAGCGCCGAGCGCUUG
rnacentral:lncRNA from 1 species